GCAACCUGUUUCAGUGUCUGACCACCCUAAAUGUAAAAACUUCUUACUUUUUCAAUCUAAAUCUCCCUUCUUUCGGUUUGCAGCCACAACCCCUUGUGCUAUCGCUAUGCUCCCUGACAAACUGGCAUCUGACGUGGAAGUGCACCUGAAGCAAAGAGCCUUCCAAGACAGAGAAGAGGAAACACAAGAGUCAUAUGGCAAUGCAAUGUGGCUAUAAUCAAUCUGUAUGUAAGAAAGAAGAAGAAUUAGUUCAAGGAGGAAUGGGAUGAAGUCACACAGGAUGGAACUAUACACUGCAGAUGCUUCACUCAAAGAACCUCUUGUUCCAAGGACUUGGUCUCAAGUUAUUAACAUCACGAGAAUGUGUCAAUUGGCGCCAGUCCAAAGGCAAAGCACCAAUCACAGGAAAGAGCUGAAAAGGACAGUUUUGCCUAUCUCCUUGUGUGUACUGCAAAAAAGCAACGACAUGAAGAUGGCAGGAUUGUGAAGCGAAGGAUAUUUUUCCCAGGUAAUAAUAAUUCAGCUGUGAUUGCGGAGCUGUACCAGGAAUGCAACAACAUGAUUGGCAGCAUACACAGAGAUUUGGAGUCACCGCUAAUGAAUGCAGAGUAAAGAAGUAACUCUGUAAAGGCAUACGUCCUCAGAAUUUAAUGUACAUUGAGGUCCAUUUAUCUUCAAAUACACACAUGCUACAGAUUGUCAAGCCAGUGUAUUUAUUCUGCUUGUAAGUGGUUGUGAUUCACUUCAGACCAUACAGUGAGCUAGAAAGGGGCAAAUCUUAAGCGAAAAGAUUUUGUACGCUUCCCUUUAUAUCAUGUAGUCAAAAUUAUAUUUGUAUGCAAUGUUGUGAGGCUGAAUGCAGAAAUCUGUCACACUGAACAGUGCUGCUUUCAUAAUGAAUGUUAAUGUACCCCUGUAUUGAGAUAUUGGGCACAACAGUUUAAAAACAUUGCAAGGUCAGCUGUAGGCUGCUCUUAGAAAUGCUUAUGAUACAAAUUGUUUUCCAAAUAACAGGGGAAGUUUGGAAUUUCUUGCCAGUUAAAAUCAUAGAAUCAUAGGAUGGAUUGCAUUAGGAAUUGGCUGUCUGGACGCAGCCAAAGGGUUGUGAACAGUGGUUCUGUGUCAGGGUGGAGGUCGAUCACAAGUGGUGUCCCUCAGGGGUAGGUCUUGGGACCGGUGCUCUUCAACAUCUUUAUCAAUGACAAGUGAUGGCAUUGAGUGCACCCUCAGCAAGCUUGCAGAUGACACCAAGCUGAGCAGCUGUCAUGGUUUUGUAACUUCGCUAUUGGUAUUCCACAUCAUAACAUCAUGGACAAAAGAAAAGAACUACGUGACAGCAGUGCAGUUGAUAAGUUGGAAGGAAGGGAAGCCAUCCAGAGGGACAUGGACAGGCUGGAGAAGUGGACCCAUGAAAACCUUACGAAGAUUCAAAAAGGCCAAGUGCAGGGUGCUGCACUUGGGUUGGGGCAAUCCAAGGUAUUUAUACAAACUGGGGGAAAAUCUUGAGAGCAACCCUGUGGAGAAGGACUUGGGGGUCCUGGUAGACGAGAAGCUGAACAUGAGCCAACAGUGUGCACGUGCAGCCCAGAAGGCCAACUGUGUUCUGGGCUGCAUAAAAAAAGGGGUGGCCAGAAGGGAGAGGGAGGUGAUUGUGCCCCUCUACUUGGCUCUUGUGAGGCCCCAUCUGCAGUACUGCAUCCAGGUCUGGGGCCCCCAGCACAGGAAGGAUGUGGAGCUCUUGGAGUGGGUCCAGAGGAGGGCCACUAAGAUGAUCAGAGGGCUGGAGCACCUCUCCUGUGAGGAAAGGCUGAGGGAACUGGGCUUGUUUAGCUUGGAGAAGAGAAGGCUCUGGGGAGACCUCACUGAGGCCUUCCAGUACUUGAAGGGAGUGUAUAAACAGGAGGGGGAACGGCUGUUUACAAGGGUGGAUAGUGAUAGGGCAAUGAAAUGUUCCAAUGAAUAGGGAAUGGUUUUAAACUGAGACGGGAGAAGUUUAGGUUAGACACUAGGAGGAAUUUUUUCACCCAGAGGGUGGUGAUGCAGUGGAACAGGUUGCCCAAGGAGGUUGUGGAUGCCCCAUCCCUGGAGGCAUUCAAGGCCAGGCUUUUCAUUCUUCUUUUGUUAAGUAAUGUCCUAUAGAUACUGGCAUUUAUAUGCUAUGUUUUUUGUUUUUUUGUUUUGUUUUGUUUUUUUUUUCCAAUAACUGGAUGUGCUGAGAUCUCUGUAACUGAAACCAAACCCUGUUGGUGAAGGACCUCUACCUCUGUCUUAUUUAGACUGUCAACAUUCAACAAUGAAAUGUAACUGUCAAUUUUUUUUUUCUGACUAAACCUGCUGAUUUGUUUUCUAUCUCACUUUAAAUAUAUGGUGUUUCACUUUAAAUAAAUUUAUUGGCUUCUGUGCACAUUUAAAAACCAUAAGUGUCCUGUCUUUAUAAAUUCUUAAAAACUAUCUAUAUGUAAAAACAGGUGCACAUCCUAUAGCUAUAAUAUGACACAAAGACUGUACUAG
ensembl:lncRNA